AAGAGCAGUGCUGCAAAUUUAGGUUGGUCUAGUGCAACAGGGAAGGAACAAGACCAAAGAUUGGAAUAAAGGAAGCAGGUUUAAGAAGAGAGCAAUGAAAGCAAAUUGAUCAAAGUUUGUUGCAGAUCUGAAAAGGAACAGGUGAACUCAAAUCUCCAGAAAUCCUGCAAGUAAAUACAAGUCUCUCUGUUUCUGACCCCCUUCAAGCUGAAAAACAAAGACACUCAAAGAGUCUGAAAAUGGAAUCUCGAGCUCAAACAAAGACUUCAACCUGACUGUGGAUUUUCCAUCACUCUGAAGUGAACAAUGAUGUGAUAUCAUCACUAGAAAGCAAAAGAAGUAUGAGAAAAUCAGCUUGUGUUUUGGACUCUUGUUCCACAGAACUUGUUCCUUUUUGUCUGUUUCUUCACCCAUGAUAGUUCUGUGGUCUCUCAGUUUAGGCUGUCCUAUUUAUGAAUUUGCUUAUGCAUAUUUGGCUUUAAAAAGGAAAUUAUAGAAGUUUGCAAAGUAGUAGUUAAUAAACUGUUUUUUUUUUCAUUUGUUAUGGGCCGAUGUUAAUGACAAAUAAAAUUUAUUUUGUUUAUCGA